GACGAACGCUGGCGGCGUGCUUAACACAUGCAAGUCGAACGGCAAGGCCCUGCUUUUGUGGGGUGCUCGAGUGGCGAACGGGUGAGUAACACGUGAGUAACCUGCCCUUGACUUUGGGAUAACUUCAGGAAACUGGGGCUAAUACCGGAUAGGAGCUCCUGCUGCAGGGUGGGGGUUGGAAAGUUUCGGCGGUUGGGGAUGGACUCGCGGCUUAUCAGCUUGUUGGUGGGGUAGUGGCUUACCAAGGCUUUGAAGGGUAGCCGGCCUGAGAGGGUGACCGGCCACAUUGGGACUGAGAGACGGCGCAGUGUCCUACGGGAGGCAACAGUGGGGAAUAUUGCACAAUGGGCGGGAGCCUGAUACAGCAACGCCGCGUGCGGGAUGACGGCCUUCGGGUUGAAAACCGCUUUCGCCUGUGACGAAGCGUGAGUGACGGUAAUGGGUGAAGAAGCACCGGCUAACUACGUG
rnacentral:rRNA from 1 species